CACAGAGGAGGCCUGGCAGGUGCUUAGGGGCAGCCAGUACAGUGUGAGGAGUGGACAGCAAGUCAGGCUGGCAAUGAAGGGACAUCUCUCCACUCUGGUGCUGUGGCUUCUUCUCCUCACAAUUCAGGACAUAGAAUGUGCUGAUGAGCUGAAGCUGGUGGAUGGGAGGCAGCCCCUGUGCCGGGAGAGUGGAGGUUAAACACCAGGAUCAGUGGGGGACGGUGUGUGAUGAUGAAUGGGACAUGGCAGAUGCUGGGGUUGUCUGUAAGCAGCUGGGAUGUGGAGCUGCUGUCAGUGCCCCUGGCGAAGCUCAUUUUGGAGCAGGAUCUGGACCAAUUUGGCUGGAUGAAGUUGCCUGUGAUGGUACCGAGUCUGCUCUCUGGAACUGUGGGAACGAGGUAUGGGGUCAGAGUGACUGCAGUCAUGGAGAGGAUGCUGGAGUGACUUGUUCAGGACACAUUGAGCUCCAGCUGGUUGGAGGUGACAGUGCCUGCUCAGGACGUGUGGAAGUAAGGCAUGGAGACACCUGGGCUACAAUCUGUGAUGCACACUUUGAUCUCAAAGCUGCCAGUGUUAUCUGUAAUGGACUACAGUGUGGAACAGCUCUAUCUAUCCCAGGAGGAGUUCACUUCGGAG